CUCAUUUCUCCAAAAAAUAAAAAUAAAAUGGCAAAAAAACAAAAAAACAAUAAACCUCACACCAUAUAUGCAAAUUAACUCAAAAUGGAUCAUAGAUCUAAAUGUAACUACACAAUUUCUGGGAGAAGACAUAUAGAGUAAAUCUUUUCCACUUUGGAUUAAACAACAGGUUCUUAAAGAUUUCUUAGGUAAGAAACAAAAAAGCACAAGCCAUAUAAGAAAAAAUUGCUAACUUAAAGCUGAUCAAAAUUAAAAACUUCUGCUCUUCACAAAACUUUAUUUAUUUAUUUUCUUUCUUUCUUUAUUUUUUUGAGACAGAGUCUCACUCUGUUGCCCAGGCUGGAGUGCAGUGGUGCAAUCUUGGCUCAUUGCAACCUCCACCUCCCAGGUUCAAGCACUUCUUGUGCCUCAGCCUCCUGAGUAGCCGGGAUUACAGGCAUGGGCCACCACAACUGGCUAAUUUGUGUAUUUUUAGUGGAGAUUGGGGUUUUGCCACGUUGGCCAGGAUGGUCUCGAACUCCUGACUUCAGGUGAUCCACCUGCCUCGGCCUCCCAAAGUGCUGUGAUUACAGGUGUGAGUCACUAUGCCCAGCCAGAGAACACUUUUAACAGAAUGAAAAGACAAACCACAAUCUGAGAGAAGAUAUUUACCAAACACAUAUCUAUAAGGCCUUGUUUUUUGUUUUUAUUUAUUUACUUAUUUAAUUUUUGAGAUAGUAUCUCACUCUGUGACCCAGGCUGGAGUGCGGUGGUGAUCACAGCUCACUGCAGAGCCUCGACCUCCCAGGCUCAAGCAAUCCUCCCACCUCAGCUUCCCGUGUAGCUGGGACCACAGGUGAGCACCACUGCACCUGCCUAAUUUUUAUGUUUUUGGUAGAGACAAGGUUUCACCAUAUUGCCCAGGUGGUCUAAAACUCCUGGCCUCAAGCAAUCCUCCUGCCUCAGCCUCCCAAUGUGCUGGGAUUAUAGGCAUGAGCCACUGUACCUGGUCCCUGAAAAGACUUGUAUCUAGAAU
rnacentral:lncRNA from 1 species